GUCGGGGUCGUCUAGUUGGUAAGGACAUUGCGUUGUGGCCGCAAAAACCUGAGUUCGAAUCUCAGCCUCGACA
rfam:Galdieria sulphuraria unplaced genomic scaffold scaf_43, whole genome shotgun sequence.